GGAGAGAUGGCUCAUUGGUUAUGAGCACUGGCUGUUCUUCCAGAGGACCUGGGUUCAAUUCCCAGCACCUACA
rfam:Cricetulus griseus cell line CHO-K1, whole genome shotgun sequence.